rnacentral:rRNA from 1 species
UGGGGAAUUUUGGACAAUGGGCGAAAGCCUGAUCCAGCAAUGCCGCGUGUGUGAAGAAGGCCUUCGGGUUGUAAAGCACUUUUGUCCGGAAAGAAAUCCUUGGCUCUAAUACAGUCGGGAGAUGACGGUACCGGAAGAAUAAGCACCGGCUAACUACGUGCCAGCAGCCGCGGUAAUACGUAGGGUGCAAGCGUUAAUCGGAAUUACUGGGCGUAAAGCGUGCGCAGGCGGUUUGCUAAGACCGAUGUGAAAUCCCCGGGCUCAACCUGGGAACUGCAUUGGUGACUGGCAGGCUAGAGUAUGGCAGAGGGGGGUAGAAUUCCACGUGUAGCAGUGAAAUGCGUAGAGAUGUGGAGGAAUACCGAUGGCGAAGGCAGCCCCCUGGGCCAAUACUGACGCUCAUGCACGAAAAGCGUGGGGGAGCAAACAGGAUUAGAUACCCCUGGUAGUCCACGCCCUAAAACGAUGUCAACUAGUUGUUGGGGAUUCAUUUCCUUAGUAACGUAGCUAACGCGUGAAGUUGACCGCCUGGGGAGUACGGUCGCAAGAUUAAAACUCAAAUGAAUUGACGGGGUCAUAGCUGUUUCCU